rnacentral:rRNA from 2 species
UACGUAGGGGUCGAGCGUUGUCCGGAGUUACUGGGCGUAAAGCGUGCGCAGGCGGCUCAUUGCGCCCGGCGUGAAAGCCCCCGGCUCAACCGGGGAGGGUCGUCGGGGACGGGUGAGCUUGAGGGUAUCAGGGGCUGGUGGAAUUCCCGGUGUAGUGGUGAAAUGCGUAGAGAUCGGGAGGAACACCCGUGGCGAAGGCGGCCAGCUGGGAUACACCUGACGCUGAGGCACGAAGGCGUGGGGAGCGAACGGG